UCACCUCACUGAAGCCAGCUUGCUUGCCACAGCUAUUACAAGGGAGCCACUGGGCCAAUUAGCACCAGGACAGCAGACACCACAGGUAACUGUAGUAGCUUAUGUGACAAAAGAACGGUGUGGAGGUUUUAUAUUUCUGUGCAGCCACAGUUCUGAGGAGAAACUCUUCCAUGAGUUCCAUCCACUUCUUGGAGCUGUCAGCGGUAGUGUCUCAGGUAGACCAGCUUCUGAGGUGGAAACUUCUCCCGGCACAGGGGACAUUCUGUCUGCAGGGUAGGGUAUGAUUGUCACAUUGGCUGUGCACCGUAGCUGGCCCUGAUCCCCAGUGCAUCAACUCCUCUUUUACAUCAUGCACAGCUGUCAAUCAACCAGAAAUCAGCCUCUCCCAGGGUCCCGAGCCCCAGAGGGGUUAGGCACUGGAUAGUGUUGACUCAGCAUAGCAGUGCCCACCCCACCCUUCCUCAGUACUUAUGAACCUUGGAUCUCUAGGACCUCUCCUGGGCUCUACCCUUUGACUGAGCCUCUGCCAUAUCUUCCCAGCAAGCCCCACCAGUAAGGUACCAGUCUGUGCGUGCUACUCUAG
rnacentral:lncRNA from 1 species